rnacentral:lncRNA from 1 species
UAGCAUCUAUUGUCAAGAUGUUUCUUUUGGAGAGUUUUUUCUUUUUUUUUUUAAAUGUGUGGCAGACUGACUCCAGCUGCCGUGGUUAAGGGCAAGUCCAUGCCCCUCAGGUGGGUCUCAAUUAUUUAGAAGGAUGCUGGCCUGUUCUGGGUGAUGGUGAGUUAUAGAGAUGGAUUGGUGACUCACAGACAAGCAUUUGUUGCAGCUGGAUCUUAUUUGCUAGGAUAAUACUGGAUAUAUUACCAGGUAACGAAUGAGGGAGAGGUGUACUGGAGAGCUGAAGAUAGCAAAAGACAGAGGAGAGAUUUUUAUAGGAACCUACACAAGGGAUCCCAGGGCUGUACCUACCCCAAAAACCUCAUCCACCCGUUGAAGGCAGCAAGAAGGAUUGCCACACCGACACCGAUGCUCUCUGUGGGGCAGGCAGCCGUGCUCUGGGGACAGCCGCAGCAUCGUACAGUGACCUGAGAGCCUGCUGGAAGCCAGCGGGAGAGGGAGCAGUGCGUGUGAUCUGGAGGGGUGUUGCAAGAGUGACCGGCGUGAUGGAGAGCAUCCCUGUCACGCUGAGCUCUCAGGAUGUUUGGGUAAUCCUAAAAGACUGCUUGGAGAAGCGGAAAGACGCAGGGAGAUGAAGAAACCAGGAGGCUGGCACAGCUGGCUGUGGGAAUGAUCAGAGGCACUAGUGCCAUAUUGCACCUCUGCACGUGGCCGUGUUGGUCCGUUACAGCUCUUUGCUGGAAGGCAGCUGGCAUCCAGGUAGCUCCACUGGAGGUGUCUGCAGUGAGUGAAGCAGCAAACGGGCCACAAAACAUCAGUGACAAGCCAGAGGCCGUGGAGAAGGAUUGCUGGCACCUCCUCAGGGCAGUGCAGUCUGUCUGUCCUGCCUGCCCCCAGCCGGAUGGGCUCAGCCUAGAUCCCGUUGGUGUGAGGGGAUGGGGUGAGCACGCAGAGAGCACUAACAGUGCUGCCAUGUGCUUAGAAGCACAGGUGUGCUGGGGACGCAGGUGGCACAUGCCUGAGGCUGCCUUUGCCUGCAUGAACCUGAUAUUUGUUGUCUUUUUAACCCAGGGUUACCAACGAAACAAAGAUUAA